UCCCCACCCUAUCCUGAAGCUUGUCAAGGCCACCAGAGACCUGCUCCCUGUGCCGUCUCAGACUGGACUCUGGGGUCUCCUGUGCCUCCUCCGAUUCUGCACCUCAGUGCAGCCUCUGGCCUGGCUGCACUCUGAGGAGCUCCCUGUGGCCACCGAGCCCUUGGAACGUGGCCAGUUCCAUUCUCAAACUGCUGUGAGUGCAAAGCUCAUGCUGGAUUUUGAAGAUUUGAUUGCUGGCCAGGCAUGGUGGCUCACUCCUGUAAUCCCAGCACUGGGAGGCCAAGGCACAAGGAUGGCUCGAGGCCGGGUGGUUGAGGCUGCCGUGAGCUGUAAUGGUGCCACUGCCCUCCAGCAUGGAUGACAGAGACCCCGCCUCUAAAAACAAUUAAUUAAUUACAAUUAAAUCAGUAAAAAAAAAUUUUUAAUUAAAAUUUAAAAAAUGGAUUGUUAAAACAAA
rnacentral:lncRNA from 1 species